rnacentral:tRNA from 1 species
GGCUUCUUAGUUUAAUGGAUAGAAUUUCAGAUUCCGAUUCUGAAGGUACAGGUUCGAUUCCUGUAGAGGCUA